UACAGAGGCCCCAAGCGUUACUGAGAAUCACUGGGUUUAAAGGGUGCGUAGGUGGCGCGUUAAGUCCGUUGUGAAAUCCCUGGGCUCAACCCAGGAAUUGCUUCGGAUACUGGCGUGCUUGAGGCCGGUAGGGGUCACUGGAACUGACAGUGGAGCGGUGAAAUGCGUAGAUAUCGUCAGGAACGCCGAUGGUGAAGACAGGUGACUGGGCCGGAACUGACACUGAGGCACGAAAGCGUGGGGAGCGAACGGG
rnacentral:rRNA from 1 species